GCUCUUGAUGUUGUGUUCAUUGAAAACGACAAGGACGAGGUUGUGGAUGCGUCAGAUAGUGAUGGUUAUCUUUCCGAGGUUUUAAUUCCCCCACUCGAUUCUUGAUUUUUUCCAUUUCAGUAUGUUUUAUUUUUGGAUAUUGAUUUAAAAUCUCUAAUCAGGACUUGAGCUUCCCGAUUGUUGGGGAAAGUGAGACUGCGAAAACUCUAGAAGAUGAAAUUGCUACUACUACCUAUUCAACUCAAAAUAAGAAAAUUCAUGCCGAUGUUUCCACUGCGAAGAAGAAAUUGGAUAAGUUGAAAAAGAAGGAUCCAGAAUUCAGCAAGUUCUUAGAAAGUUUCAAGAACAGUGCUGAAUCGUUUCAAGAUGACGAGGCGUAUUCAGAUGAAAGC